rnacentral:ncRNA from 1 species
UUUGGUUUCUUGCUUCCUCAAAGAGCAAGUGGUGCGGAUGGAGGUUACUCCCGCCUGGUUUCCAAUUUCCAGUCAAAAAAUUGGUGGCGAGCCUGAGU